rnacentral:rRNA from 1 species
GACGAACGCUGGCGGCGGGCUUAACACAUGCAAGUCGAACGGAAAGGCCCUGCUUUUUUGGGGUGCUCGAGUGGCGAACGGGUGAGGAACACGUGAGUAACCUGCCCUUGACUUUGGGAUAACUUCAGGAAACUGGGGCUAAUACCGGAUAGGAGCUCCUGCUCCAUUGUGGGGGUGGGAUAUUUUCGGCUGUUGGGGAUGGAUUCGCGGCUUAUGAGCUUGUUGGUGGGGUAGUGGCUUACCAAGGCUUUGACGGGUAGCCGGCCUGAGAGGGUGACCGGCCACAUUGGGCCUGCGAUACGGCCCAGACUCCUACGUGAGGCAGCAGUGGGGAAUAUUGCACAAUGGGCGGAAGCGUGAUGAAGCAACGCUGCGUGCGGGAUGACGGCCUUCGGGUUGUAAACCGCUUUAGCCUGUGACGAAGCGUGAGUGACGGUAAUGGGUAAAGAAGCACCGGCUAACUACGUG